AACGAACGCUGGCGGCGUGCCUAAGACAUGCAAGUCGUGCGAGAAAGGGGCUUCGGUCCCGAGUACAGCGGCGCACGGGUGAGUAACGCGUGGGUAACCUACCUCGAAGUCUGGAAUAACUCGGGGAAACCUGAGCUAAUACCGGAUGAGCCUACGAGACCCUCGGGUCAUGUGGGAAAAGAUGGCCUCUGCUUGCAAGCUAUCGCUACGAGAUGAGCCCGCGUCCCAUUAGCUAGUUGGUGAGGUAACGGCUCACCAAGGCGACGAUGGGUAGCUGGUCUGAGAGGACGAUCAGCCACACUGGAACUGAGACACGGUCCAGACUCCUACGGGAGGCAGCAGUCGGGAAUAUUGGGCAAUGGGCGCAAGCCUGACCCAGCGACGCCGCGUGAGGGAUGAAGGCCUUCGGGUCGUAAACCUCUGUCGGGAGGGAAGAAUGGCGGUGAAGCGAAUAGUUUCGCUGUCUGACGGUACCUCCAAAGGAAGCGCCGGCUAACUCCGUGCCAGCAGCCGCGGUAAUACGGAGGGCGCAAGCGUUGUUCGGAAUCACUGGGCGUAAAGCGCGUGUAGGCGGCCGGGCAAGUCGGAUGUGAAAUCCCGAGGCUCAACCUCGGAACUGCAUUCGAAACUGCUCGGCUCGAGUCCCGGAGAGGAUGGCAGAAUUCCCGGUGUAGGGGUGAAAUCCGUAGAUAUCGGGAGGAAUACCAGUGGCGAAGGCGGCCAUCUGGACGGUGACUGACGCUGAGACGCGAAAGCGUGGGGAGCAAACAGGAUUAGAUACCCUGGUAGUCCACGCCGUAAACGGUGAGUGCUAGACGUCGCGGGUAUUGACCCCCGCGGUGUCGAAGCUAACGCGUUAAGCACUCCGCCUGGGGAGUACGGCCGCAAGGCUA
rnacentral:rRNA from 1 species